AAGUCGUAACAAGGUUUCCGUAGGUGAACCUGCGGAAGGAUCAUUAUUGAAUAAACUUGGGUAGGUUGUUGCUGGCUCUUCUGAGCAUUUGUGCACGCCUAACUCCCAUUUUUAACCCCCAUGUGCAUAUUAUGUAGAUCUGAAUCUUUCUCGAGACCACCAUCUCGGUUCUGAGAACUGCUGUGCGAAAGCAUCAGCUUUUCUUGCGCUUUCAGGUCUAUGACAACUUUUUAUACUCCAUAAAAGUAUCAGAACGUAGAAUAGGCUUUCAUGCCAAUACAUAUCUAUACAACUUUCAACAACGGAUCUCUUGGCUCUC
rnacentral:misc_RNA from 1 species